GCAAGGGACGCUAGUACAGGUGGUGCAUGGCUGUCGUCAGCUCGUGUCGUGAGAUGUUGGGUUAAGUCCCGCAACGAGCGCAACCCUUACCCUUAGUUGUUUUCCCGAAAGGAUUACCCUCUAAGGGGACUGCCCCGGACAACGGGGAGGAAGGUGGGGGAUGACGUCAAGUCCGCAUGCUCCUUACGUCUAGGGCUACACACGUCCUACAAUGGGGUCGACAGUGGGAUGCAAAGCCGCGAGGUGGAGCCAAUCCCCAAACGGCCUCUCAGUUCGGAUAGUAGUCUGCAACUCGACUACUUGAAGUCGGAAUCGCUAGUAAUGGCGGAUCAGCAUGCCGCCGUGAAUACGUUCCCGGGUCUU
rnacentral:rRNA from 1 species